rnacentral:rRNA from 1 species
AUAGCGAGAAAAGAAACCAACAGGGAUUGCCCCAGUAACGGCGAGUGAAGCGGCAACAGCUCAAAUUUGAAAUCUGGCCCCAGGCCCGAGUUGUAAUUUGCAGAGGAUGCUUUUGGCGCGGUGCCUUCCGAGUUCCCUGGAACGGGACGCCAUAGAGGGUGAGAGCCCCGUACGGUUGGACACCAAGCCUUUGUAAAGCUCCUUCGACGAGUCGAGUAGUUUGGGAAUGCUGCUCUAAAUGGGAGGUACAUUUCUUCUAAAGCUAAAUAUUGGCCAGAGACCGAUAGCGCACAAGUAGAGUGAUCGAAAGAUGAAAAGCACUUUGAAAAGAGGGUUAAACAGCACGUGAAAUUGUUAAAAGGGAAGCGCUUGUGACCAGACUUGCGUCCGGUGAAUCACCCAGCUCUCGCGGCUGGGGCACUUCGCCGGCACAGGCCAGCAUCAGCUUGCCGUCGGGGACAAAAGCUUCAGGAACGUGGCUCCUCUCGGGGAGUGUUAUAGCCUGUUGCACAAUACCCUUCGGCGGGCUGAGGUACGCGCUCCGCAAGGAUGCUGGCGUAAUGGUCAUCAGCGACCCGUCUUGAAACACGGACCAAGGAGUCAACCUUAUGUGCGAGUGUUUGGGUGUCAAACCCCUACGCGUAAUGAAAGUGAACGCAGGUGAGAGCUUCGGCGCAUCAUCGACCGAUCCUGAUGUUCUCGGAUGGAUUUGAGUAAGAGCAUAUAGGGUUGGACCCGAAAGAAGGUGAACUAUGCGUGUGUAGGGUGAAGCCAGAGGAAACUCUGGUGGAGGCUCGCAGCGGUUCUGACGUGCAAAUCGAUCGUCAAACAUGCGCAUGGGGGC